GCCAUGAGAAGGGCAGAAGAUUGAGAGGGGAGCAGAGACUUGGGCAGAGUAACUUGUCCAUUUAGUGUGAAAGGAUCUUGCCAAAACCUUAGAUAAUAGGAGCAGGAACCCACAAAGCUUGGUUUGAUUUUAUUUAUUUAUUUAUUUAUGGGACUCCUAAAUCUACUAGGUCUUCAACAGGCUGGCUGGUGAUGCCUGCAUGGCUUUCCUCUUGGAAUUAAGAGCAAAGGAAGCAGAGAAUUCAAAGUUUAAACUUAACACGGUGGUGCAAGCCUGCGUUUUCUCUUGUUCAUUGAAAUGGGAAUAUGAGUGGACCCUCACUUUGGAAUUCAGACAAAUCUGAACUAAUCGAAGCUACAGACGUGUAUGUUUAUAGCAAAAAAGAUGCCCUGGAUUUAAGGACUAUGUGUAUUAAAGCAAGUAUGAGAAGAAACAGCUUUUUAUGACAUUUGCACUCCUUUUCUUCAGCUCGUACAGAAGGCUGACAGCCUGUCUCACUCCCAUCAGAGAUAUCCCACCAGCUCCUUUAGGAGUUCAGCGUUGCAUUUGGCCUGUUCUGAUCUUCCUGAUCCCCUUAUUUUUGUGCUGCAACACCACCAUCCAGCAGAAAUCAGCGGAUGUACCCAGCACCACCUUGGGACUACAUGGAAAUCCAACAGAAAGGAGCAGAGAUGCUGAGAAGAGGCACUUUGUGGCUCAGAGGGAUUUCCUUGCUACCUGAAAAAGCCUCCUUGCAGUAGCUAUUAGAGAACCUACCCACCCAAAUGACUGUGCCCAUUUGCUCCAUGAUUAUUGCUGUUGAAGAGGCCUCGGUGUCAGUGUUUUGCUUUCCUCUGUGCUGCCAAUGUGCAAAGGCUCUGGGUCUGCUCAGCUACAUGGCACUAGAAGAGCUCUGAAAAGCAGCAGCUGAAAGAUGGAAGAGAGCAACAUCUGUUUUGAGACGAGAAAGACAUGAGAGAUGCAAUCAGUGGGUUGAUUUCCUGCCCCCCAACCCUGUGAGAUACCAGUUUGACCCAGAGGAGUUUUCUGUGAAAAUGAGUGUAAAAAGCUGCCCUAGGAUGUUUUACUUGGAAAGAUGACAAUCUUGUGAGAUUGUAAAAGGAACACAGCACCUCGUCAAUGAUGCCUAAGGACACUAUUUCCAUUACGGUAGCUGUUGCAAGUUUGAUUCCCGAGUGUUUGAUUCCCAAGUCUCUCUGAAGUGUUUGCUCAAAGGGUGAAUCAGUUACUCUUACUGGAAGUUCCAGUUUCUGGUCUGAAUCAGAUAUUUCCCUCUCUGAGGUCUCACUGGGAAAUCACAAGCCAGAAUUUGAAGUUUGAGUAUCGCUGUGUUGCUAGAUUAUUCAAAAGAGAUGUGGCAAACAAUUCCCUGUCCUCUCCUCUACACAUAUUAGUUGGGACCAAGCGUCUUGGCUUUGAGGACUCAGAUGUAAGCGUUGGUGUAGGCCUGUGAUGCAGACUUUGUGACCUACUCUAAAUUCAAGAUUAGUAAGAGACGUGAGACGCUACAUAAAUGAGAGCAAAGCAGCAUCCUCGUAUGCUGAGCAGUACCAUCUGCUCAGUGAGCAAAGGGUCUGCUGAGGUGAGGAAAAUCUCUGGCAGCCCAAGUUUCCAGAUGAAAGCACUCGGUCCCCAGGAAGCUUCCAGUGAGGUACUGAGAUCAUCAAGUAAGGAGCCUGAUACCUGAAAUGUGGCCUGCAGCAACCCAGAGACCUGGAACAGGACAGCAGCAGUGCUGAAGGAGCCAUGAAGAAGUCUCAGAAGCACUGAGAAGAGAGAAGAGACCCAGUCAGCCAAAGCAUCAACCCUCUGGGGACAGGAGGGAGAGGAGUGGCAGCAGUGAGGAGGUCCUGGUGACAGCCCCUGAGGCCUGCUGCAGCACAGAGGAGCUGUGUCAGAGAGGCUGUUGCCAUGACAUUUCUUUGGACAAACAUCUGGAGUUCUUGGACCUACUGAUGUGUUGCUACUGCGAGAGCCAAAAGCUCCGUCGCUGCUUUAAUUGAAACCCUGUUGCUCAAGGAGCAUUCAGCGCUGCCUCGAGUGAGUUCGAUGUCUCCGAGAGAAGGGAGACAUCCUUCAUAUCAGACACAUUUACAUGGAGAAAAGAAAAAUAGAGACCGUCAUUUUGCCCUUUGUGUGGUCACUCUGGAAGAAUUUGAUUUUAGUUGCAUGUAACCAAACCAGCUGCCUAGGGCCCCAGGCUGCAAGUGUAGGUAAGAGGCACGGCAUGUGGUAAGGAGCACAGCACACAGGGAAGGGCUCAAGCUUAUGUUUCACAGCUGGGGACUCUGUGAACCUGCCUUUGAUUUUGCUUUGCACUCUGGGUUUAAAAAAAAAAAAAAAAAAAAAAAAAAACAGCUGCUGACAACAGUGCUCCAGAAACAUCAGACCUUAUUUUUUGGGUCAUUUAGCUCUCAGAGCACCAGUUUUAAAAUGCCUUGUCCCAACUCUGCAAGUGCUUGACAUCCCUGAAAACUGUGUUCAGGGGGUCUGGAGUGAAACAGCGAGGUGGAUCUUACUGGAGACACCUAAUCUUGGGCUUAAAGGGUAUUAUGAGGCUGAAUGAAACGCUGCUAGUUGGAGCCCCUUAAUAUGCUUAGCGGUGUGUGCUGUGUGAUUAUUAAUAGGGCUUCCUGGGAAGCGCAUGCCUGUGUCAGUGCCACGUGUGAACUGCAGUUCAGAACCACUUGUAGUUUUGUCCCAUUGGCGUUCAAAGGAGAGGAAAGCUUUGUGUGUGCUCUAAGUGGAUUUAAUUCAGGUGUAUUGAAGAAAAAAAAUGAAGAGUAGAAAAGACCAUUAGCUAUUAGGAGUGCCAUUCAUCUUGCUCCUAGAAUGCCUUCUUUAUUCAACAGUGCUUUCUCACAGAGGGUUCUGUGUUUCCCUUACACCUUUGGUAUGUGUCUUUGAUUUUAUCAGCUUGCCUCUGAUUUCCCUGUCAGGGUUUGGUAAACUGUGGACUAUUCAUUUAACUCAGCAGCUUUGGAAAUCGUUUUGAAUAUUGCGUGAAUCACUGUACCAAAGGGAAAAGGAUGAAAAGGAGCGAGUGUGGAUUGGAUUGUAAAAUGUGAAAGGGGACACAGACAUACCCAUCUACGUGCAGUGACCCAGGGGCUCCUCCUGGGAUAGGACACCAGUGCUCAGGGCAGUUAGCACUCCCUUUCUCACAGUUUGAGUUCAAUGAGGUCACUUGGGGGAGCAUCUGGACUUGGCAGCAAGCUUCUUGUCAUUGCGGAAAGUUGGUGUGACCCCCCCUGAUUUGACUUUCGAGAAGAGGAAGAAGAUGGUUUUCCUGGUAGCCAGCAAGCCUUGCUCACAGGCUUCCACAGUAGCAAUGUUCAGAAACUCAGGAGCCUAGUGGGGCCAACUGGAGCUCAUGAGUGCUCAUGCACAUAUCACUGGGAGAAAAUAAAAGAGUGCUACAGGUUUUCUUUACCUAGGGUAAAGCCUCCUCUAGAGUCUGUAGCCAAAUCUUCCUCAUCUUUGAAAAAGACGCAGCAUAUUUUGUGUGAUUAGCACUUUGCUGGCUACAUUGCCUGCUGACCUAUCUGGCCAAAGUGUGCCUCUGUCUUUCUAACUCACUGCAAAUGUCCUUGUUCUUAACCUCUUCCAUUUUCCUUCUUCCCAGCUUUGCCAUCAAUGUUUUUCUUCUUUGAACAAAAGGAUACUUUUAUAUGCAGCCACUGGUCAGCUAUGUCCCUCUCUUUGCCACACUGACCUUCUUCAGAUUCUGCAUCCUUCUUUCCUUUUUCCUUUUUCCUUUUUCCUUUUCCUUUUUCCUUUUCCUUUUCCUUCCUUGUUUUCCUUUUCUGUUUCCUUUUCCUGUGCUGCUGGAAAUGCAUAAGGGGUGUUUAUCUUCUUUAAUACCCACACUGCUGUAAGCCACCCUUUGCCCUAGGGGUAAAGCCUGUGAGCUGGAAGUGAGCACCCUGGGGGCUGACUUCUGGACGAGCCCAAACAUGGAUUCAGAAGGGAACUCAGGAAACAGAGAGACCCUCCAUUUGUGCUGCAAGAGAGUUAGAUCAGCUUUAUUUUAGCGGCCUUUUUUGGUUGUUUUAGAUUUCACGUGUCUGUACAAGCUGUAUCAAUGCGUUUAUCCAGUUGCAAAGCAUCCCCUAUCUCCAAGCCCACUGUAAAAUUCCACACAUACUUAUAAGCUUAUACAUAAGGAGGUUUUCUUAAUUAAGGCAGAGACAGAAACUGUUAGCACAGAAGAAUUAUUAACACGUCUGAGGCAGAAGGAUUGCACUUGUUUCUUUGGACCCCUAGGUACAGAGAUAAAAUAGAAAAGGAAGUUUAUAGACAAAUGAUAUGACUGCAGAAAAGCUAAUUGCCUGAAGCAUUUAAACUUGGCUAAUGAUGUCCAGUGUUGAAAUUCUCAUCCCAAGGAGAUUUCACCCAAGGGAAAUCCUCAUCCUUAGUAUGCUGUUAAGAAGGAGAAAUCUCAAGGGAGGAAAUCACAGAACAACAUGCAAAGCUUAAUUCUAGUGAACUGCCAGGACCAGGUGGUGUUCAUCACAAGCCGUGAGGGAUCUGAGCUCCAAAACUGGAAAGUUCCUGACAAACACGUGCAAUGUAUCCCUUAAAAUAGUUCUUCCUGGUUGCUGUAAAACUGUCACCAACAAGCCUCACCUUCAAGAUGGAACCAAGAGUAACCUGGGGAAUUACAGGUGAAUGCACAAUAUCCUACACAGAGGGCAAGCAUUUCAGAGGAAUCAGAACGGAAACAUAAACUUAGAAAAACAAAAUUACAUCAUCUGACCAACAACACACUUCUGCUU